CAUCAUCGUCAUACCUCCCUGUUGGACUUGGCCGGACCUUGUGUCCGGCCUUUUUU
rnacentral:ncRNA from 1 species